GCUGUAUAUCAAAGCCACUGUGAUUUUGAAACAGACACGUGCGUCUGUAAGAAAGGUUAUUUCAAUGAGACGUUGUAUGAAUGUUUAAAAGUGACCUUAGGAUCACCCUGCAAUGACAGUGCCAAGUGCAGUAAUACUAUCAUGAAUAGCACGUGUGAAGCCAAUGUUUGCCAGUGUCAGUCUGGAUUCUACAACAGCAGCUUGGAGAUGUGUGAGGAAGUCGUGUUAGGGUCACCUUGCUCUGCUGACGGUUCAUGUACUAGUGUACCACAUUCGGAGUAUUUGAGAGGAAGAUGUGA